AUUGAACGCUGGCGGCAUGCCUUACACAUGCAAGUCGAACGGUAACGGGUCUUCGGAUGCUGACGAGUGGCGAACGGGUGAGUAAUACAUCGGAACGUGCCCGAGAGUGGGGGAUAACGAGGCGAAAGCUUUGCUAAUACCGCAUACGAUCUCAGGAUGAAAGCAGGGGACCGCAAGGCCUUGCGCUCACGGAGCGGCCGAUGGCAGAUUAGGUAGUUGGUGGGAUAAAAGCUUACCAAGCCGACGAUCUGUAGCUGGUCUGAGAGGACGACCAGCCAAACGGGGACUGAGACACGGCCCAGACUCCUACGGGAGGCAGCAGUGGGGAAUUUUGGACAAUGGGCGCAAGCCUGAUCCAGCCAUGCCGCGUGCAGGAUGAAGGCCUUCGGGUUGUAAACUGCUUUUGUACGGAACGAAAAGACUCUGGUUAAUACCUGGGGUCCAUGACGGUACCGUAAGAAUAAGCACCGGCUAACUACGUGCCAGCAGCCGCGGUAAAAC
rnacentral:rRNA from 1 species